CCUACGGGAGGCAGCAGUGAGGAAUAUUGGUCAAUGGGAGAGAUCCUGAACCAGCCAAGCCGCGUGAGGGAAGACGGCCCUAUGGGUUGUAAACCUCUUUUGUCGGAGAACAAAACCCGGGACGUGUCCCGGACUGCGUGUAUCCGAAGAAAAAGCCUCGGCAAACUCCGUGCCAGCAGCCGCGGUAAUACGGAGGAUGCGAGCGUUAUCCGGAUUUAUGGGGUUUAAAGGGUGCGUAGGCGGUCCGUUAAGUCAACGGUAAAAUUGCGGGGCUCAACCCCGUCGAGCCGUUGAAACUGGCAGACUUGAGUUGGCGAGAGGUACGCGGAAUGCGCGGUGUAGCGGUGAAAUGCAUAGAUAUCGCGCAGAACUCCGAUUGCGAAGGCAGCGUACCGGCGCCAGACUGACGCUGAGGCACGAAAGCGUGGGGAGCGAACAGGAUUAGAUACCCGUGUAGUC
rnacentral:rRNA from 1 species